rnacentral:rRNA from 1 species
GUUUAGCCUGCCCAGUGAUUUUUAAAUGGCCGCGGUAUUUUGACCGUGCAAAGGUAGCAUAAUAAUUAGUUUUUUUAUUGAGAACUGGAAUGAAUGGUUGAACGAGAUAAUUUCUGUCUCUUUUUUAAUUGGCGUAUAAUUUAAUUUUUGAGUCAAAAAGCUUAAAUGAUUUAAUAAGACGAGAAGACCCUAUAGAGUUUAAUAUACAUAUUAAUAUAAAAUUUUAGAAUUUAUUGUUGUAUUUUAUUAGUAUAUUUUGUUGGGGUGACAAGGAGAUAUAAUUAACUCUUUUUUUUUAUGAACAUUAAUAUAUGAAUGUUUGAUCCAUUUUUUAUGAUUAUAAGAUUAAAUUACCUUAGGGAUAACAGCGUUAUUUUUUUAGAGAGUUCUAAUCGAUAAAAAAAAUUGCGACCUCGAUGUUGGAUUAAAGUUAAUUUUGGGUGCAAAAGCUUGAAUAUUGGGUCUGUUCGACCUUUAAAACUUUACAUGAUCUGAGU